CUGCCUGUGGCAGAACCAGCAUCUUUCUUUUAGCACCUGUGUGUGGACCCAGGGGGCAGAUCCUGGUGGACCCUGCUUGGAUUCUACCCCGUCGCCAAACUUGGCCCUGUUGCGGCCAUUCAGGCUUCCUGGCAGCCAGGGCACUCGAGCAGUGGAAAUGGUGGCUCUGCACUCAGCAGCACUCUCUGUGCUGACCUGGAUCAUCCUCGGACCACGUGUGGCCCCUAGAGACCCUCCUUCCUCUUCCUGGAAAGUCAAGUCCUAAAGCCACCAGAUGAGAGCAAGGUGACGGAGGUCAGAACAGACACCUGAACACCAGCCGCUCCCAGGCCCAGGGUUGAGGCACAGCUCCAGAUAAACCGCCCUCCUCCUCGCCUCUUUCCUCCAAGCCGGCCCCGCGUGUUCCUGUCCAGGUUACACCCCUACACGUGCCAAUCUGAAACUUCCCUCCUGGUUGGUAGAAACGUCCAACAGAACAGGAACGGUUUCUGCUGCGUCAGCUG